GGAUUCCUACCGACACUGUUAUUGCUGACAAGUGGGUGAAAAAUAUAAGGCUUAGUCGUGGAGAAGUAUAUUGGAAGCCAACCAAAAAUACACGUAUAUGUUCAAGACAUUUUAAAAAUGAAGAUAAGUACAUAACACAGGCUGGAUUGUGUAGAUUGCGUCGAAAUGCUGUCCCUGUUAAGGAUUUACAUAUUUCAUGCACAGGCACAGAUGAUCAAUUUGUAGAUAAUGUGGAUGAGGUUUCACCUUUUCAUGGGCUAUCGAGUUUAAAUGCUGCUGAAGACAAGAAAGAAGGUGUUCGUGAAACUUCAAAUAGAAAUUUAGUUACUGAAAGUUCAUCGCAACCUAGUACGUCACGCGGGAUAUUUAGGCGCCCAUCAGACGACGAAUUCGGUUAUAUAUUAGACAC